rnacentral:tRNA from 1 species
GGCUUUAUAUUCAAUUAUGAUUUUAGACUGCAAUUCUAGAGGUGUAAUAUAUUUUACUAAGGCCU